UGCUAGCUUGCUAAUAAUUCUCUAGUGGCGCACGGGUGAGUAACACGUGAGUACCUGCCCCCGAGAGCGGGAUAGCCCUGGGAAACUGGGAUUAAUACCGCAUAGUGAAAUAAAGCAGCAAUGCGCUUGGGGAUGGGCUCGCGGCCUAUUAGUUAGUUGGUGAGGUAACGGCUCACCAAGGCGAUGACGGGUAGCCGGUCUGAGAGGAUGUCCGGCCACACUGGAACUGAGACACGGUCCAGACACCUACGGGUGGCAGCAGUCGAGAAUCAUUCACAAUGGGGGAAACCCUGAUGGUGCGACGCCGCGUGGGGGAUAAGGUCUUCGGAUUGUAAACCCCUGUCAUGUGGGACAUUAAAAAGAUAGUACCACAAGAGGAAGAGACGGCUAACUCUGUGCCAGCAGCCGCGGUAAUACAGAGGUCUCAAGCGUUGUUCGGAAUCACUGGGCGUAAAGCGUGCGUAGGCUGUUUCGUAAGUCGUGUGUGAAAGGCGCGGGC
rnacentral:rRNA from 1 species